CUGCUCUCCCUUCAACAGCACAUAUAUUAAAAUUAUAACAUACAGAGAAGAUUAGCAUGGACCCUGCACAAGGAUAAUACACAGAUUCUCCUAAAGCAGUGGUUCUCA